GCCUGCGCAAAACCAUGAAUCCACGUAGGGAUCAGCAGAGACGUACUGAAAACAGCAUGCUAAUAUGGAUACUUGAAGCAAAGGGACUACCAGCCAAGAGGAAGUACUAUUGCGAAAUGACACUGGACAAGACGCUGUAUGCCAAGACUUCAUCCAAAGCGCGAACGGAUAAUGUAUUUUGGGGCGAGAACUUUGAGUUCAUGUAAGUUGCAAUAGCUCAUGACAUCUGUUAAAUGGGGUUGCUGUUCAAUUUUACAUGAAUAGAAAAUGAGAAACAUUUCAACAACCUUUUUUUUUUGAAAUCAUCUUCAACACAGAUUAACUAUUUUUUGGAUUGUCAUUCGAAUUUUGAAAAGAUUUGUGCGUCAUUCCAAAUUUUUAACUUCGAUUCUUUUUUUUGUUUUGCGAAACCAAACGGAAAAAGUACAACAGUAUUUUCCAACACCAAAAAAAUUUACCAUUCAUUUGUUUGGUAUGAAUGAUUUUUCCAAACGAAACUUUCAGGAUGCUCCCAAAAAUCGAUGAAGUGUGCGUGAGCUUGUUCCGAGAAUCUGAUUCAAAGAAAAAGAAGGACACUCUCAUCGGAUACGUUACCAUUGGAAUCGACCAACUGUCUAGCAGAAGUCCAGUAGAGCGAUG
rnacentral:sRNA from 1 species